UUGUUGCACUUUAAUUUGGUUUCAUUUGACAAAAUAAAUUUAUAUUAUUAUCCUUUUGCCCUUUUCUAAAAAAAAAAAAAAAAAAAAUGCACAGGUCAAUUAUAUGAACUGAAAGAAAGGGUUACUCCUUUUGCCUAAAAAGACACACUAUUAUAAAGUGAUGAUCAGCUUCAAAUAGUGUUAAGAAACAGCUUAAUAAUCCCCAAAAAGAGAGAGACAUGAUAUCCUAAUAGCAUUUAAAUAGGACACUAUACUCUAAACAUACCAGUCUUUUCCCCAUAUAUGAAAAUUUAGAGACCUUAGCACUUCAUGAACCCUGCCAGAAAUUUUGCCCAAAAACUACUGAAUCAUGUAAAUACAGAUUCCUGCAAUGGCUCCAAGGAAAAAAAAGACCGUACAUCUAAAGGGAAAGAUAAUAAGAUAUUCGGAUAUGAAUUUGAGGUUUCCCCCCAAUCACAGAAGUCACACGUAACCCCAAGCAACGGCAUUCCAUUAGCUAAGAUAGUCUAAGUAUACCAUUGAGAAUGCACGACAAACUCCAAUUAUUUCCCUUCUUUUUACAUUCCCAGUAUCAAUAAUUCACUAGUUCAAUGGGCCUUUGCACUCCCAAGUGUGAGCUCAAGAUCAUCAACCCCUAUCUCGUGAAUCCUCUCACCCUCCCAUGGCUUCAC
rnacentral:misc_RNA from 1 species